UCACCUCUCAAGCCCCGUGCUUGACGUUGGAUGGCUUGGCCGGACCUCGCGUCUGGCCCCUCCUAAAGACAACGACGGCGGCCUGUGGUCCCCCCGGUACACUGAGCUUCUCACCGAGCACGUGCUGGAUUUGGGUGCCCGGGUCCCGGUCCUCUCCCCCGUCGCGGGGAAAUACACUAUCAAA
rnacentral:misc_RNA from 1 species